GGAGGGGCCAUAGCUCAGUGGGAAAGCAUCUGCUUUGCAUGCAGAAAGUCCUAGGUUCAAUCCCCACCACCUCCA